AUAAGCCAUAAAUCCAGUCUCUUUCUUAAGACCAUGAUUUUUAGCGUCUAGCAAAGUUACGAAUUUAAGCUCCUAGUCUUGUCUUUUGAAGGU